rnacentral:rRNA from 1 species
UACGGAGGGGGCUAGCGUUGUUCGGAAUCACUGGGCGUAAAGCGCACGUAGGCGGAUUGUUAAGUCAGGGGUGAAAUCCUGGAGCUCAACUCCAGAACUGCCUUUGAUACUGGCGAUCUCGAGUCCGGGAGAGGUGAGUGGAACUGCGAGUGUAGAGGUGAAAUUCGUAGAUAUUCGCAAGAACACCAGUGGCGAAGGCGGCUCACUGGCCCGGUACUGACGCUGAGGUGCGAAAGCGUGGGGAGCAAACAGG